rnacentral:rRNA from 1 species
AGCGAACGCUGGCGGCAGGCCUAACACAUGCAAGUCGAACGAACCUUUCGGGGUUAGUGGCGGACGGGUGAGUAACACGUGGGAACGUGCCUUUAGGCUCGGAAUAACUCAGGGAAACUUGUGCUAAUACCGAAUGUGCCCUUCGGGGGAAGGAUUUAUCGCCUUUAGAGCGGCCCGCGUCUGUUUAGCUAGUUGGUUGAGGUAAUGGCUCACCAAGGCGACGAACAGUAGCUGGUCUGAGAGGAUGAUCAGCCACAUUGGGACUGAGACACGGCCCAAACUCCUACGGGAGGCAGGAGUGGGGAAUCUUGCGCAACGGGCGAAAGCCUGACGCAGCCAGGCCGCGUGAAUGAUGAAGGUCUUAGGAUUGUAAAAUUCUUUCACCGGGGACGAUAAUGACGGUACCCGGAGAAGAAGCCCCGGCUAACUUCGUG